rnacentral:rRNA from 1 species
CCUACGGGCGGCUGCAGUCGAGAAUCAUUCACAAUGGGGGAAACCCUGAUGGUGCGACGCCGCGUGAGGGAUGAAGGUCUUCGGAUCGUAAACCUCUGUCAGCAGGGAAGAACGUUCACUGUGCUAAUCAGCAGUCACUUGCCGGUACCUGCACAGCAACCACCGUCUAACUCCGUGCCAGCAGCCGCGGUAAUACGGAGGGUGCGAGCGUUAAUCGGAAUGACUGGGCGUAAAGCGCUCGUAGGCGUUAUAGCAAGUCAAGGGUGAAAUCCCAGCGCUCAACUAGAGAACUGCAUUUGAAACUGGUAAUCUAGAGUGUGGGAGAGGAAGGUGGAAUUCUAGGUGUAGGAGUAAAAUCCGUAGAGAUCUAGAGGAACACUAAUGGCGAAGGCGACCUGCUAGAACAUAACUGACGCUGAGGAGCGAAAGCGUGGGGAGCAAACAGGAUUAGAUACCCGUGUAGUC